rnacentral:rRNA from 1 species
UACAGAGGGUGCGAGCGUUGUUCGGAAUUACUGGGCGUAAAGGGCUCGUAGGUGGCCAACUAAGUCGGACGUGAAAUCCCUCAGCUUAACUGGGGAACUGCGUCCGAUACUGGAUGGCUUGAGUUUGGGAGAGGGAUGCGGAAUUCCAGGUGUAGCGGUGAAAUGCGUAGAUAUCUGGGGGAACACCGGUGGCGAAGGCGGCAUCCUGGACCAACACUGACACUGAGGAGCGAAAGCCAGGGGAGCAAACGGG